AACAACGGAUCUCUUGGUUUCUGGCAUCGAUGGAAGAACGCAGCGAAAUGCGAUAAGUAAUGUGAAUUGCAGAAUUCAGUGAAUCAUCGAAUCUUUGAACGCACAUUGCGCCCUGUGGUAUUCCGCAGGGCAUGCCUGUUCGAG
rnacentral:rRNA from 1 species